GGGAGCAUAGCUCAGCCGGUUAGAGCACCUGCUUUACACGCAGGGGGUCACAGGUUCGAGUCCUGUUGUUCCCACCA
rnacentral:tRNA from 1 species